rnacentral:rRNA from 1 species
CCUACGGGAGGCAGCAGUGGGGAAUAAUGGGCAAUGGGCGAAAGCCUGACCCAGCAACGCCGCGUGAAGGAAGAAGGCUUUUGGGUUGUAAACUUCUUUUCUCAGGGACGAAGCAAGUGACGGUACCUGCGGAAUAAGCCACGGCUAACUACGUGCCAGCAGCCGCGGUAAUACGUCGGUGGCAAGCGGUAUUCGGAUUUACUGGGUGUAAAGGGGGGGUAGGCGGGAACGUAGUCAGUUUGUGAAAACCAUGGGCUCAACCUGUGGCGUGCAUUUGAUACUGUUUUUCUUGAGUACUGGAGAGGCAGACGGAAUUCCUGGUGUAGCGGUGAAAUGCGUAGAUAUGAGGAGGAACACCAGUGGCGAAGGCGGUCUGCUGGACAGCAACUGACGCUGAAGCACGAAAGCGUGGGUAUCGAACAGGAUUAGAUACCCGGGUAGUC